CUUAAUUGCCUUGAUGGUCUC
rnacentral:piRNA from 1 species